rnacentral:lncRNA from 1 species
ACUGGAUGAGAGGAAGACGCCUAUGUUGGUGAAUUGGGCUGAACAAUUCCAAGCUCACGAAGUUGUCAAGGGAAUGAUACCCGAACCAGACAAGUUGUCUAAGACAAUUGAUGAAAAAACAAUAGACGAUUCCAAACAACAAGAUGAAAUUGAUCGAGCAUUUAUCUAUGCUAGGCAAUUGACAUUCAAUCAUGUUCUCUCAAUGACCUUGAAAGUUGUCAUUGAACUGGGUGUGCUUGAUGUUAUUGCGAAUGCUGGUUUCGACAAAUUCCUCUCCCCAAAAGAGAUAGCAAGUGAAUUAUCGAUUGUCAACCCUGAUGCUCCCAUCAUGCUCAACCGCAUGCUUAGAUUACUUGCCAGCCACAAUAUCGUCAUCUGUAAAUCAAAAUCAUAUAGUAAUUGUGAUGAAAACACCAUAGUUGGUACUACGUUAUAUGGUAUUGGCCCUAUAUCUAGGUAUUUUGUCAAGAAUGAGAAUGGUGUUUCACUAGCUCCCAUACUUGUCGCGGUCCAAGAUGAGGUUUACAUGAAAAGUUGGUAAGAUAUUUGAAUCUAGGCUAUCCAUUUAAAACAUUGAGAUAUGUAUCAUAUUGUAUUUAUAUUUAAUCAUAUUAAAGGAACCAUUAGAUUUAAAAUUAACGACAGAAAUAUUGAAGAUAUCUUUUAUAAUAUCUCAAGAUUUUUUUUAUAGGUACUACUUGAAAGAAGCAGUGAAGACGGGUGGUAUUCCAUUCAACAUGGCGUACGGAAUGUCAGUUUUUGAAUAUCAUAGUAUAGAUACGAGGUUCAAUAAUCUAUUUAAUAAAGCAUUUUUGAAUAUGACAAUCCUUAUGAAGAAGAUUCUUCUUUCAUAUAAUGGAUUUGAGAAUAUCAACAAGUUGGUUGAUGUUGGUGGGGGCACUGGAGCCAAUCUAAACAUCAUAAUCUCGCAACAUCCAACCAUAAAGGGUGUCAACUUCGACCUUCCUCAUGUCAUCAAAAAUGCCCCCUUGUUUAAAGGUAACAUAAUAUAUUCAGAAUCGGUAAGUGAAUGUUUUGUGGAAACUAAUUAUGUAUGAUCGUGUUUUAUUUUACAGGAGUGGAACAUGUUGGCGGAGACAUGUUUGAGAAGGUUCCUAGUGGAGAUGCAAUUUUUCUGAAGGUAUAUACCUUAAACUGAUCUUUAAUUUUCCAUAUAUUGAUUCUAACCCAGAUACGUACAUCACUGUCUUGUUUUAUGCAGCUUAUCCUACAUGAUUGGAGCGACGAUCAUUGUGUGAAGUUAUUGAAGAAUUGUUGGAAACAACUUCCAAAAAAUGGAAUGGUUAUCGUCUGUGAACUAACUCUUCCCGUUGAACCACAAGAAGAUAAUUCAGCUUUCUAUAGUGAUAUGGCGAUGUUGACAAUAAAUCCUGGAGGUAAGGAGAGGACUGAAAGUGAAUAUAGUUUACUGGCAAAGAAAGCAGGAUUUGUCGAUUUCAAAGUUGCAUGUGAUGUAGAUGGAAUGUACAUCAUGGAAUUCAGUAAGUAGCUGCACGCCUAAAUUUCUUCCUUAUGCGAGAAUACUAAAUAAAAUUAACGCGUAUAUACACAACUUGAUUCGUCUAGUUGAUAACUAUCACUAUUAAGGUGGAUGAACGGUUAAAGGUUCAUGAUUCGAGCCUUAGUGUAUGCAUUUUAAUUUAUAUUUAUUUAUGUAUCACAUACGUAUUUUAUCAAAAAAAUAAAAAAUGUUUGCAAUAUAUAUUUAUUUAAGAUUAAUGUUUGUGUACAAUUUCCAUUUUUAUAUAGAUAAAUUUUUUGAACAGUACAACAUCAGCAUCAGCAGAACAUAAAUAAUGGAUGAAACACAGGAAUGAGACAAGCAGUAGAUGUAAAUGACCAGCAUGGAGUUGUGAUAAUGAGUGAAACUUAUCAUAGGUGAAAUCCAGCUAGUUUUUAUCUUUAAAUUCCACAAUCUGCAAAACAAAACAAAAAUACAGAUUAUUAAUAAUUAAAACAAACUUAAACUUCCCUUUAAAGACCGAACUUCAUCUUAAUGGUACUGCAUAAUUUGAUAAAAAUAUCUUAAGAUACAGCUUUGGUAAACAUGUCAGCAAGUUGAUCAGAUGAGCGCACAUGUUUUAUAUUUAUUGAUCCAUUUAAAAUUAAUUCUCUAAUGAAAUGUAUAUCUGUUUCUAGGUAUUUCGACAUUUUGCUAAUUACUGGAUUUUUGGCCAUAAAAAUAGAUGAAAUAUUAUCCGUGUAUAGAAGAGGAACCUGAAUUAAUUUAUGACAAAGAUCUCUACAGAUAAAAUGAGUCCAUCUUAAAUUUAUAGUGGGACUUGCUAGGGCUCUAUAUAUAUAAAGGAAUAUAAACCCUAAAAGUAGAUUUAUUAACAUUAGUUUAAUUAAUAACAUGAUAACUAUUUUCUCUAACAUUAUUUGGUCAUGUAAAAUAUUGUAUUUAACAGGGUUAUGCUAGCAAUUAUUUCAAUGAAAGCUUACUGGAUUAAUGAGGGUCAACAAGAUGAUGGUGGCCAGUUAAAUGAAAUCUAUUAGUCUAAUAAAUAGUUAAAUACAAUGUAAUAAAAACAGAUGAGCAGUUAAAUCAGUUAAGGCCCAAGUAUAAAUAUUAUAAAUACUUAAAGAAAACAGUGUAAUAAUGAUUCAGUUAAUGAGAUUUCCCAAUUUAACUGAUUUACCUUCUUCCUCUUUUAAAAUCUUCCAAAGACAUUCCGACAGUAUCUCCGGCCAUUGUCGGUCUUCCACACGAGGAAGACAAUAGGGUUAUCUUUUUUCCCAAUCAAUUCUUUUACUAUAUUCAGCCUCAACACUUGAUCUUGAAACAAUAUUUUAUUUCUUUGAUGACCAAGUUACUAAGUUUCCUCCGAUAACAGUUGUUUAGAACUGAGGGGCAAACGCUUAUCACCAAAAUUUAGGAUUUAGAAGAGAGUAGUAUUAGUAUAUAUGUUCAAUCUAUUUUGCCUGCAGAUUUUAUCGGCCAUGAAAUUGAUAAUAAAAGGAUCGACAAAGAAGAUUGAAGAAGAAUUUCACGAGGCAAUGCAGGUUUUGGAGAGUAUUUUCAAAAAUGAAAGUCAAGGUCAGAGCUUCUUUGCGAAGGGAAAUAUCGGAUAUAUUGACAUAUCUUUGGGGUCAAUAUUGGGUUGGAUGAAAGUUGUUGAGAAAUCAAAGAAUAUUAGGUUACUGGAUGAGAAGAAGACGCCUAUGUUGGUGAAUUGGGCUGAACGAUUCCAAGCUCACGAAGUUGUCAAGAGAAUGAUACCCGAACCAGACAAGUUGUCUAAGAUAAUUGAUGAAAAAACAAUAGACGAUUCCAAUCAACAAGAAGAAAUUGAUCGAGCAUUUAUCUAUGCUAGGCAAUUGACGUUCAAUCCUGCUCUCUCGAUCAAUGACUUUGAAAGUUGUCAUUGAACUAGGUGUGCUUGAUGUUAUUGUGAAUGCUGGUUUUAAAAAAUUCCUCUCCCCAAAAGAGAUAGCAAGAGAACUAUCCAUUAUCAACCCUGAUGCUCCCAUCAUGCUCAACCGCAUGCUUAGACUACUUG